rnacentral:rRNA from 1 species
UACAGAGGGUGCAAGCGUUGCUCGGAAUCAUUGGGCGUAAAGGGUAGGUAGGUGGUCUCAUUUGUCUGGGGUGAAAUCCUUGAGCUUAACUCAAGAAGUGCCCCAGAAACGGUGAGACUAGAGUUCUGGAGAGGGUCGUGGAAUUCCCGGUGUAGCGAUGAAAUGCGUAGAGAUCGGGAGGAACACCAGAGGCGAAGGCGGCGACCUGGACAGAUACUGACACUCAACUACGAAAGCGUGGGGAGCAAACAGG